UGAGGAAUAUUGGUCAAUGGGAGAGAUCCUGAACCAGCCAAGCCGCGUGAGGGAAGACGGCACUACGUGUUGUAAACCUCUUUUGCCGGGGAACAAAAGCGGGGACGCGUCCCCGUCUGCGUGUACCCGGAGAAAAAGCAUCGGCUAACUCCGUCGCC
rnacentral:rRNA from 1 species